rnacentral:rRNA from 1 species
UACGGAGGGUGCAAGCGUUAAUCGGAAUUACUGGGCGUAAAGCGUGCGCAGGCGGUUCGCCAAGUCAGGUGUGAAAUCCCCGGGCUUAACCUGGGAAUUGCGCUUGAAACUAGCGGGCUUGAGUGCGGCAGAGGGGGGUGGAAUUCCACGUGUAGCAGUGAAAUGCGUAGAGAUGUGGAAGAACACCGAUGGCGAAGGCAGCCCCCUGGGUCAAGAUUGACGCUCAUGCACGAAAGCGUGGGGAGCAAACAGG